GAUGAACGCUGGCGGCGUGCCUAAUACAUGCAAGUCGAGCGAACAGACGAGGAGCUUGCUCCUCUGACGUUAUCGGCGGACGGGUGAGUAACACGUGGAUAACCUACCUAUAAGACUGGGAUAACUUCGGGAAACCGGAGCUAAUACCGGAUAAUUUAUUGACCUGCAUGGUUCAAUAGUGAAAGACGGUUUUGCUUUCACUUAUAGAUGGCUCCGCGCCGCAUUAGUUAGUUGGCAAGGUAACGGCUUACCAAGGCAACGACGCGUAGCCGACCUGAGAGGGUGAUCGCACACACGGGAAGAGAGACAGAGUCCAGACUCUGAGGGGAGGCAGCGGUAGAGAAUCUUCCGCGAUGGGGGAGAGCCUGACGGAGCAACGCCGCGUGAGUGAUGAAGGUCUUCUGAUCGUAAAACUCUGUUAGUAGGGAAGAACAAAUGUGUAAGUAACUAUGCACGUCUUGACGGUACCUAAUCAGAAAGCCACGGCUAACUACGUG
rnacentral:rRNA from 1 species